GACUGUGUAGCUCAGUUGGCAGAGCAUUGGGCUAGUAUUCCAAAGGUCGUAGGUUCGAUUCCCACCGUGGCCG
rnacentral:tRNA from 1 species